AACGAACGCUGGCGGCAUGCCUAACACAUGCAAGUCGAACGAGACCUUCGGGUCUAGUGGCGCACGGGUGCGUAACGCGUGGGAACCUGCCCUUAGGUUCGGAAUAACUCCCCGAAAGGGGUGCUAAUACCGGAUAAUGUCUUCGGACCAAAGAUUUAUCGCCUUUGGAUGGGCCCGCGUUGGAUUAGCUAGUUGGUAGGGUAAAAGCCUACCAAGGCGACGAUCCAUAGCUGGUCUGAGAGGAUGAUCAGCCACACUGGGACUGAGACACGGCCCAGACCCCUCGGGGAGGGGGGGGUGGGAAAGAUGGGAAAGGGGCGAAAGGCAUGACCGAGUAAGGCGCGGGAAGUGAGGAGGGCAUGGGGGUAGAAAAGUUUUUUUCCCGGGGAGAAAAAUAACGGUCCCGGAAAAAAAAGCCCCGGCAAACCCCGUG
rnacentral:rRNA from 1 species